UCCAGACUCCUACGGGAGGCAGCAGUGAGGAAUAUUGGUCAAUGGCCGUAAGGCUGAACCAGCCAAGUCGCGUGAAGGAAGAAGGAUCUAUGGUUUGUAAACUUCUUUUAUAGGGGAAUAAAGGUAUCCACGUGUGGAUAUUUGCAUGUACCCUAUGAAUAAGGAUCGGCUAACUCCGUGCCAGCAGCCGCGGUAAUACGGAGGAUGCGAGCGUUAUCCGGAUUUAUUGGGUUUAAAGGGUGCGCAGGCGGCACGGAAAGCCGGCGGUCAAAUCGCGGGGCUCAACCCCGCCCAGCCGUCGGAACUGCCGGGCUAGAGUGGGCGAGAAGUGCGCGGAAUGCGUGGUGUAGCGGUGAAAUGCAUAGAUAUCACGCAGAACUCCGAUUGCGAAGGCAGCGCACCGGCGCCCUACUGACGCUCAGGCACGAAAGCGUGGGUAUCGAACAGGAUUAGAUCCCCUAGUA
rnacentral:rRNA from 1 species